rnacentral:rRNA from 1 species
UACGUAGGGAGCGAGCGUUGUCCGGAAUUACUGGGUGUAAAGGGUGCGUAGGCGGGACUGCAAGUCAGACGUGAAAUACCGGGGCUUAACCUCGGGGCUGCGUUUGAAACUGUGGUUCUUGAGUGAAGUAGAGGCAGGCGGAAUUCCUAGUGUAGCGGUGAAAUGCGUAGAUAUUAGGAGGAACACCAGUGGCGAAGGCGGCCUGCUGGGCUUUAACUGACGCUGAUGCACGAAAGCAUGGGGAGCAAAC